rnacentral:rRNA from 1 species
UGCGUAGGCGGAAUAUUAAGUCAGUGGUGAAAUCCUGCGGCUCAACCGUAGAACUGCCAUUGAUACUGAUAUUCUUGAAUGUAGUUGAGGUGGGCGGAAUGUGUAAUGUAGCGGUGAAAUGCUUAGAUAUUACACAGAACACCGAUUGCGAAGGCAGCUUACUAAACUAUGAUUGACGCUGAGGCACGAAAGCGUGGGGAGCGAACAGGAUUAGAUACCCUGGUAGUCC